GUUUUGAUAUAAUGAUAAUGGUAAUCCCGAUAACUGAUUGUACUUAUCAAUGGUACGUUCGCAGUAUUCUACAAUGAGAAGUCAAGGAUAGCUGUGAAAUCCAACUGUGAAAAGUUAAGGAAAAAAUUCGGAAGUUAUUAACGUCGCGACUUUAUAAUCCGACGAUCCUACGGUAUAAAUCAAAUAUGCAUACGAUGAAUAAUCCACCACCUUCGUAUGAGGAGACAAUAAAGGCAUCUACAUCUGCGAAAAAUAAUUCUGCAUCUAACCAGCCAACGUCAAAUAUUCAAGAAAAUUCGCAGACGCCCGACAGUUAUCCGUCAUCCGCAUCAGCGUAUCCGCAAUCGAAUAAUUUUCCGAAUGCUCCCCCACCUUAUCCGGUUAAUCCAUCUUAUAUAUCGAUAGAAUCGAUUCAGCAAAAUCAAUCCGCAAACAUACCCCCUGAUACAAUAAUAAUAGAACCUGUACCGAAUAACAAAACCAUUCGCUCUUAUUAUAUACUUAGGUCACUAGCUUUGGUCUUAGGUAUAGUAAGCAUCAUAGUAAUAGUAGUAAGAAUAAUUUUUUGGCUUACUGCUUCUUAAUUAGUAUGUAAAAAAAACUUAUUUAUGAUUGUAAUAUCUAUAAUAUAUAUGUACAAAAAUGAUUAAAUGUAUUUUAUGUUACAAUAUACUAGCAUCACGAAUACAUGAAUUAUUAGUAUAUUCAUAAUUAGUUAGUACACUAAUAAUUAAUACACUGAUAUCUUAUA